GACGAACCGUACGAACGUUAUUCGGAAUCACUGGGCUUAAAGGGUGCGUAGGCUGCGCGGAAAGUUGGAUGUGAAAUCCCUCGGCUCAACCGAGGAACUGCGCCCAAAACUGCCGUGCUCGAGGGAGACAGAGGUGAGCGGAACUUAGGGUGGAGCGGUGAAAUGCGUUGAUAUCCUAAGGAACACCUGUGGCGAAAGCGGCUCACUGGACCGCAACUGACGCUGAGGCGCGAAAAGCUAGGGGGAGCAAACAGG
rnacentral:rRNA from 1 species